rnacentral:tRNA from 1 species
GAAAAUCCGUCGACUUUAUAAAUCGUGA